rnacentral:snRNA from 1 species
AGCUUUGCAUAGUGGCAGUAUCAUAGCCAAUGAGGUUAAUCCGAGGCGCGAUUAUUGCUAAUUGAAAUGAAUCUGAGACAUGUUCAAAAUAAAUUAGCAAAAUACUAUG